rnacentral:rRNA from 1 species
UACAGAGGUCUCAAGCGUUGUCCGGAAUUAUUGGGCGUAAAGAGCUCGUAGGCGGUUUUGUCGCGUCUGCUGUGAAAAACUCGGGGCUUAACUCCGGGCCUGCAGUGGGUACGGGGCAGACUAGAGUGCGGGUAGGGGAGACUGGAAUUCCUGGUGUAGCGGGUGAAAUGCGCAGGAUAAUCAGGAGGAACACCGGUGGCGAAGGCGGGACACCUGGGCCGAACUGCGCUGAGGCGCGAAAGCCGGUGG